rnacentral:rRNA from 1 species
CCUACGGGAGGCAGCAGUGAGGAAUAUUGGUCAAUGGGCGGAAGCCUGAACCAGCCAAGUAGCGUGCGGGAUGAAGGCCCUACGGGUCGUAAACUGCUUUUGCACGGGGAUAACACCCUCCACUUGUGGAGGUCUGCAGGUACCGUGCGAAUAAGGGCCGGCUAAUUCCGUGCCAGCAGCCGCGGUAAUACGGAAGGCCCGAGCGUUAUCCGGAUUCAUUGGGUUUAAAGGGAGCGUAGGCGGGCGUUAAAGUCAGCUGUAAAAGCGCGCGGCUAAACCGAGCCCUGCAGUUGAGACUGGAAGCCUUGAGUACACAACAGGCAGGCGGAAUUCGUGGUGUAGCGGUGAAAUGCAUAGAUAUCACGAAGAACCCCGAUUGCGAAGGCAGCCUGCCGGAGUGCGACUGACGCUGAGGCUCGAAGGUGCGGGUAUCAAACAGGAUUAGAUACCCGAGUAGUC